GUGAACGCUGGCGGCGUGCCUAAUACAUGCAAGUCGAACGAUGAAGCUUUUAGCUUGCUAGAAGUGGAUUAGUGGCGCACGGGUGAGUAAUGCAUAGGUUAUGUGCCCUUUAGUCUAGGAUAGCCACUGGAAACGGUGAUUAAUACUGGAUACUCCCUACGGGGGAAAGUUUUUCGCUAAAGGAUCGGCCUAUGUCCUAUCAGCUUGUUGGUGAGGUAAUGGCUCACCAAGGCUAUGACGGGUAUCCGGCCUGAGAGGGUGAACGGACACACUGGAACUGAGACACGGUCCAGACUCCUACGGGAGGCAGCAGUAGGGAAUAUUGCUCAAUGGGGGAAACCCUGAAGCAGCAACGCCGCGUGGAGGAUGAAGGUUUUAGGAUUGUAAACUCCUUUUGUGAGAGAAGAUUAUGACGGUAUCUCACGAAUAAGCACCGGCUAACUCCGUGCCAGCAGCCGCGGUAAUACGGAGGGCGCAAGCGUUACUCGGAAUCACUGGGCGUAAAGAGUGCGCAGGCGGGUAGUCAAGUCAGAUGUGAAAUCCUAUAGCUUAACUAUAGAACUGCAUUUGAAACUGAUUAUCUAGAGUGUGGGAGAGGUAGGUGGAAUUCUUGGUGUAGGGGUAAAAUCCGUAGAGAUCAAGAGGAAUACUCAUUGCGAAGGCGACCUACUGGAACAUUACUGACGCUCAUGCACGAAAGCGUGGGGAGCAAACAGGAUUAGAUACCCUGGUAGUCCACGCCCUAAACGAUGAAUGCUAGUUGUUGCCCUGCUUGACAGGGCAGUAAUGCAGCUAACGCAUUAAGCAUUCCGCCUGGGGAGUACGGUCGCAAGAUUAAAACUCAAAGGAAUAGACGGGGACCCGCACAAGCGGUGGAGCAUGUGGUUUAAUUCGAAGAUACGCGAAGAACCUUACCUAGGCUUGACAUUGAUAGAAUCCUAUAGAGAUAUGGGAGUGCCCUUUUAGGGAGCUUGAAAACAGGUGCUGCACGGCUGUCGUCAGCUCGUGUCGUGAGAUGUUGGGUUAAGUCCCGCAACGAGCGCAACCCUCGUCCUUAGUUGCUAACUAUUCGGUAGAGCACUCUAAGGAGACUGCCUUCGCAAGGAGGAGGAAGGUGAGGAUGACGUCAAGUCAUCAUGGCCCUUACGCCUAGGGCUACACACGUGCUACAAUGGGAAGCACAAAGAGAUGCAAUAUUGUGAAAUGGAGCAAAUCUAUAAAACUUCUCUCAGUUCGGAUUGUAGUCUGCAACUCGACUACAUGAAGCUGGAAUCGCUAGUAAUCGUAAAUCAGCUAUGUUACGGUGAAUACGUUCCCGGGUCUUGUACUCACCGCCCGUCACACCAUGGGAGUUGUAUUCGCCUUAAGUCGGAAUGCCAAACUGGCUACCGCCCACGGCGGAUG
rnacentral:rRNA from 1 species